GUGCUUUUUGCAGGAAGCCAUCUGCCAAGCUAUGAUAUUGCAAGGAAGGUCAGGCCCCGAGGACGAGUCAAUAGGGCAGCCUGAUCUUGGAACUUCACCUUCCAAAGAUAUGAGAAACUGAGACCAUAGACUUGGUCAGCACUGGAUCACCCAUCCAUCCAUCAUCACAAAGCCCAGCACAGUGACUACUUACUGUAUUAUUAUUAUUGUUGUUGUUAUUAUUAUUAUUAUUAUUUAGUACCAGGGAUGGAACUCUGGACCUUGAGCUUGUGAGGCAGGCUGCUGCACCGCUGAGCUAAAUCCCUG
rnacentral:lncRNA from 1 species